rnacentral:rRNA from 1 species
UACGUAGGGUGCGAGCGUUGUCCGGAAUUAUUGGGCGUAAAGAGCUUGUAGGCGGUCUGUCGCGUCUGCUGUGAAAAUCCGGGGCUCAACCCCGGACUUGCAGUGGGUACGGGCAGACUAGAGUGUGGUAGGGGAGACUGGAAUUCCUGGUGUAGCGGUGAAAUGCGCAGAUAUCAGGAAGAACACCUAUGGCGAAGGCAGCACUCUGGGACGGUACUGACGCUGAGACGCGAAAGCGUGGGGAGCGAACAGG